CCUACGGGGGGCAGCAGUGAGGAAUAUUGGUCAAUGGGCGCGAGCCUGAACCAGCCAAGUCGCGUGAGGGAAGACGGUCCUAUGGAGUGUAAACCUCUGUUGUCGGGGAGCAAAAGACGCCACGCGUGGCGUUCCGAGAGUACCCGAAGAAAAAGCAUCGUCUAACUCCGUGCCAGCAGCAGCGGUAAUACGGAGGAUGCGAGCGUUAUCCGGAUUUAUUGGGUUUAAAGGGUGCGCAGGCGGAAGAUCAAGUCAGCGGUAAAAUUGAGAGGCGCAACCUCUUCGAGCCGUUGAAACUGGUUUUCUUGCGUGCGCGAGACGUAUGCGGAAUGCGUGUUGUAGCGGU
rnacentral:rRNA from 1 species